rnacentral:lncRNA from 1 species
GCAUCUAGAACACUGAGAAAUCCAGGAUGGACACUUAACACUACCAAAGAUUGAUCUAUUUUGGGUACCUACAAAAUUAUGGUGACUCUUCACUAAUUUGCCAACUGAUUAUCUGCAAAUCUUAAAUAGAGAAUAAAACACAAAAAUAUCAUUAUCCCUCCAGAACUGAGGACGCAAAUUGGAUUUAGAAGACUUAGCUUUGACACCUAGAUAUGUUUUCAUUGAUUUGACCUAACUUGAUCUCAGUUUCUCUUUUAUAGAAUUAGUUCUUUAGAUCUCAAGAGGAUUCCAGGAAAUCAAAACAAUGAAUUAUUGAAUAAAGAGUUUGAAAGAGAAAAUAGAUGCAUACUGAAAAAAGAAUUUUGUUUAGUGAGAUAGAUGUAAUAAUGAAUUUGAGAAGGAAUAAUGAUGUAGUAAACAUGUUCUGUUAUUUAAAAAGAGAGACUUUUCAUAGCCGCCUCCCUCCCCCUCUACACACACACAGAGUCCUGUCCGUCUUCAUUCCCUUACUCAAUAAUUUGUACAGACACAACCACUGGGCUCCAGUAAUCCUAAAGUUUCUAGAAAAUCAAGCACAGAAAAAGGUUAAAACCCUGAGGGAAUAAAAGAAUUCCUUUGCAUCCAUUGCAUUUCUCAGGAAGUGAACUAA